GAACGAGAAAGCCGCAAGGCAAGUAAAGUGGCGUACGGGUGAGUAACACGUGGAUCAUCUACCCUCUGGUGGGGAAUACCGAUGGGAAACCGUCGACAAUACCGCAUAAGCUCGAGAGAGGAAAGCAGCAAUGCGCCGGAAGAGGAGUCCGCGGUCGAUUAGUUAGUUGGCAGGGUAAAAGCCUACCAAGACUGUGAUCGAUAGCCGGCCUGAGAGGGCACACGGCCACACUGGCACUGAAACACGGGCCAGACUCCUACGGGAGGCAGCAGUGGGGAAUCUUGCACAAUGGAGGAAACUCUGAUGCAGCGACGCCGCGUGAGCGAUGAAGGCCUUCGGGUUGUAAAGCUCUUUCGGCAGGGAAGAUUAUGACGGUACCCGCAGAAGCAGCUGCGGCUAACUACGUGCCAGCAGCCGCGGUAAUACGUAGGCAGCAAGCGUUGUUCGGAGUUACUGGGCGUAAAGGGUGUGUAGGCGGUCCUCUAAGUUUGGUGUGAAAUCUCCCGGCUCAACUGGGAGGGUGCGCCGAAAACUGGAGGGCUAGAGUGCGGGAUGGGAAAGUGGAAUUCCUGGUGUAGCGGUGAAGUGCGUAGAUAUCAGGAGGAACACCUGUGGUGUAGACGGCUUUCUGGACCGCAACUGACGCUGAGACACGAAAGCGUGGGUAGCAAACAGGAUUAGAUACCCUGGUAGUCCACGCCCUAAACGAUGCAUAUUUGGUGUGGGUCAUUCAUUUGAUC
rnacentral:rRNA from 1 species